rnacentral:rRNA from 1 species
GAUGAACGCUGGCGGCGUGCCUAAUACAUGCAAGUCGAGCGAACAGACGAGGAGCUUGCUCCUCUGACGUUAGCGGCGGACGGGUGAGUAACACGUGGAUAACCUACCUAUAAGACUGGGAUAACUUCGGGAAACCGGAGCUAAUACCGGAUAAUAUAUUGAACCGCAUGGUUCAAUAGUGAAAGACGGUUUUGCUGUCACUUAUAGAUGGAUCCGCGCCGCAUUAGCUAGUUGGUAAGGUAACGGCUUACCAAGGCAACGAUGCGUAGCCGACCUGAGAGGGUGAUCGGCCACACUGGAACUGAGACACGGUCCAGACUCCUACGGGAGGCAGCAGUAGGGAAUCUUCCGCAAUGGGCGAAAGCCUGACGGAGCAACGCCGCGUGAGUGAUGAAGGUCUUCGGAUCGUAAAACUCUGUUAUUAGGGAAGAACAAAUGUGUAAGUAUCUAUGCACGUCUUGACGGCACCUAAUCAGAAAGCCACGGCUAACUACGUG